rnacentral:rRNA from 1 species
UACGGAGGGUGCAAGCAUUAAUCGGAAUUAUUGGGCGUAAAGGGCGCGUAGGCGGAACCAUAAGUUAGGUGUGAAAUACCGAAGCUCAACUUCGGUGCUGCACUUAAGACUGUGGAUCUAGAGGAUUGGCGGAGAAAAUGGAAUUCCACGAGUAGCGGUGAAAUGCGUAGAUAUGUGGAGGAACACCGGUGGCGAAAGCGGUUUUCUAGCUUAUUCCUGACGCUGAGGCGCGAGAGCAAGGGGAUCAAACAGG